rnacentral:tRNA from 1 species
GGCCUGCUGGCGAAAUGGCAUCGCGUCACAUUUCGGCUUCUAUCUUAGUCAUACUGUGAAGAUUGUAGGUUCGAUCCCUACGUAGGUCG